AACGUAGGUGGCGAGCGUUAUCCGGAUUCACUGGGCUUAAAGGGCGCGUAGGCGGAUUAGAAAGUCCGUUGUGAAAUCUCUGAGCUUAACUCGGAAAUUGCGGUGGAUACUAUUAGUCUUGAAUACUGUGGAGGUUAGCGGAAUAUGUCAUGUAGCGGUGGAAUGCAUAGAUAUGACAUAGAACACCAAUUGCGAAGGCAGCUGGCUACACAGAUAUUGACGCUGAGGCACGAAAGCGUGGGGAUCAAACAGG
rnacentral:rRNA from 1 species